UACGUAGGGUGCGAGCGUUAAUCGGAAUUACUGGGCGUAAAGCGUGCGUAGGCGGUUCGUUAAGUUCGUUGUGAAAGCCCCGGGCUUAACUUGGGAAUUGCGCUCGAAACUACGUGGCUGGAGUGUGGCAGAGGAAGGUGGAAUUCCAGGUGUAGCGGUGAAAUGCGUAGAGAUCUGGAGGAACACCGAUGGCGAAGGCAGCCUUCUGGGCCAACACUGACGCUCAUGCACGAAAGCGUGGGGAGCAAACAGG
rnacentral:rRNA from 1 species